CCCUUUGUGGUGCAAAUGGUUAAGCACUGGGCUACUAACCCAAAGGUUGGUGGUUUGAACCCACCCAGAGGUG
rnacentral:tRNA from 1 species